rnacentral:rRNA from 1 species
AUGAACGCUGGCGGCGUGCCUAAUACAUGCAAGUCGAGCGAACAGAUGAGGAGCUUGCUCCUCUGACGUUAGCGGCGGACGGGUGAGUAACACGUGGAUAACCUACCUAUAAGACUGGGAUAACUUCGGGAAACCGGAGCUAAUACCGGAUAAUAUAUUGAACCGCAUGGUUCAAUAGUGAAAGACGGUUUUGCUGUCACUUAUAGAUGGAUCCGCGCCGCAUUAGCUAGUUGGUAAGGUAACGGCUUACCAAGGCAACGAUGCGUAGCCGACCUGAGAGGGUGAUCGGCCACACUGGAACUGAGACACGGUCCAGACUCCUACGGGAGGCAGCAGUAGGGAAUCUUCCGCAAUGGGCGAAAGCCUGACGGAGCGACGCCGCGUGAGUGAUGAAGGUCUUCGGAUCGUAAAACUCUGUUAUUAGGGAAGAACAAAUGUGUAAGUAACUAUGCACGUCUUGACGGUACCUAAUCAGAAAGCCACGGCUAACUACGUG